GAUGAAGAACGUAGCGAAAUGCGAUAAGUAAUGUGAAUUGCAGAAUUCAGUGAAUCAUCGAAUCUUUGAACGCGCAUUGCGCCGGCUAGUAUUCUGGCGGGCAUGCCUGUUCGAGCGUCAUUUCAACCAUCAAGCCCUGUUUAGGCUUGUGUUGGGGCCCUGCGGUUGCCGCAGCCCCCUAAAUGCAGUGGCGGGCUCGUUGUCACUCCGAGCGCAGUAGCGUAUCUCGCUCUGGGCGUGGCGGCGGGUGCUAGCCGUGAAACACCCACUAAGGUUGACCUCGGAUCAGGUAGGAAUACCCGCUGAACUUAAGCAUAUCAAUAAGCGGAGGA
rnacentral:misc_RNA from 1 species